rnacentral:rRNA from 1 species
UAGGGAAUCUUCCACAAUGGACGCAAGUCUGAUGGAGCAACACCGCGUGAGUGAAGAAGGGUUUCGGCUCGUAAAGCUCUGUUGUUAAAGAAGAACACGUAUGAGAGUAACUGUUCAUACGUUGACGGUAUUUAACCAGAAAGUCACGGCUAACUACGUGCUAG